rnacentral:rRNA from 1 species
GAUGAACGCUAGCUACAGGCUUAACACAUGCAAGUCGAGGGGCAGCAUGAACUUAGCUUGCUCAGUUUGAUGGCGACCGGCGCACGGGUGAGUAACACGUAUCCAACCUGCCGAUGACUCGGGGAUAGCCUUUCGAAAGAAAGAUUAAUACCCGAUGGCAUAGUUCUUCCGCAUGGUAGAACUAUUAAAGAAUUUCGGUCAUCGAUGGGGAUGCGUUCCAUUAGGUUGUUGGCGGGGUAACGGCCCACCAAGCCUUCGAUGGAUAGGGGUUCUGAGAGGAAGGUCCCCCACAUUGGAACUGAGACACGGUCCAAACUCCUACGGGAGGCAGCAGUGAGGAAUAUUGGUGUAUGGACGAGAGUCUGAACCAGCCAAGUAGCGUGAAGGAUGACUGCCCUAUGGGUUGUAAACUUCUUUUAUACGAGAAUAAAGUGAGGCACGUGUGCCUUUUUGAAUGUACCGUAUGAAUAAGGAUCGGCUAACCCCGUG